AUUAGCUAGUUGGUGAGGUAAGGGCUCACCAAGGCGACGAUCCCUAGCUGGUCUGAGAGGAUGAUCAGCCACACUGGAACUGAGACACGGUCCAGACUCCUACGGGAGGCAGCAGUGGGGAAUAUUGCACAAUGGGCGCAAGCCUGAUGCAGCCAUGCCGCGUGUGUGAAGAAGGCCUUCGGGUUGUAAAGCACUUUCAGUCGUGAGGAAGGUAGUGUAGUUAAUAGCUGCAUUAUUUGACGUUAGCGACAGAAGAAGCACCGGCUAACUCCGUGCCAGCAGCCGCGGUAAUACGGAGGGUGCGAGCGUUAAUCGGAAUUACUGGGCGUAAAGCGCAUGCAGGUGGUUUGUUAAGUCAGAUGUGAAAGCCCGGGGCUCAACCUCGGAAUUGCAUUUGAAACUGGCAGACUAGAGUACUGUAGAGGGGGGUAGAAUUUCAGGUGUAGCGGUGAAAUGCGUAGAGAUCUGAAGGAAUACCGGUGGCGAAGGCGGCCCCCUGGACAGAUACUGACACUCAGAUGCGAAAGCGUGGGGAGCAAACAGGAUUAGAUACCC
rnacentral:rRNA from 2 species